rnacentral:rRNA from 1 species
CAGUAGCCGCGGUAAUACGUAGGGUGCGAGCGUUAAUCGGAAUUACUGGGCGUAAAGCGUGCGCAGGCGGUUAUAUAAGACAGAUGUGAAAUCCCCGGGCUCAACCUGGGACCUGCAUUUGUGACUGUAUAGCUAGAGUACGGUAGAGGGGGAUGGAAUUCCGCGUGUAGCAGUGAAAUGCGUAGAUAUGCGGAGGAACACCGAUGGCGAAGGCAGCCCCCUGGGAUAACACUGACGCUCAUGCACGAAAGCGUGGGGAGCAAACAGGAUUAGAUACCCCAGUAGUCCCUGUCUCUUAUAA